CCACUCUACUUUCAUUUUUUUCAGAAGAUAUUUUGGCGGGUAGCGAGUUAAAUGUUGCAAACGUCAUUUCCGGUGAGUGCGUCACAGAGUAUUCGAUUUGAGACGACCCUACCCCGCCGAAUGUGACGCACUACUCAAGUGAGUACAGAGUGCACCAAGUGCACUACAUUGAAGUGUACUUCUGGAAGUACGUGUAUUGGAACACACUCUGUUUAGUGCUAAUUUUGAAGUGUUAGCAUGCAAACUCACUAAACUAAGAAGAGAAACCUGCGCCGUACAGUCCCUCUGCUCCCACGCCGAAACCAAGGUUUUUGACUGGCACAGAUGGACGAUGGAGGACUUUCCACCGCCUUUCCUGGAGUGUCCCAUCUGCUGUUUGAAGUCUGACAGGAGUCCUGGAAAAGAAAGACAUUGGGUGAUCCAGCAGAGAGGUAUGUGAACUCUGCUUGGCCCGGACCACCAACCAACCCCCCCUCCUCAAAUCCAGACCUCCUAACAAUGUCUCCCUGUGUCGCAGUGGGGGAAAAAGAACGAGAGAGAACGAGUUAAACCAGCAGUGUGAUCAAUGCCCUCCCCCCCCCUCCACCCUCCUCCACCCUCCUCAUCCCUCUUUUCCCCCCUCUCCUUCCUUCCUGUUCCCUCCAUCUCUGCCCCUGCCCGCUCUGGCGUUUCCGCCUUUGUGAGAAACAGACAGGUGGCCCUGACUGCUAAUUUUAACCGGGGGGCCGAUUGUCUGACUGCGUUUCCCACAGCUAUGUAUAGACGCCUGCAAUAAACCAAGUAGGUCAGUGUGUGACACUCACAUACACAUAAACACACACCUACAGAGGCAAACACACACACACCGGCGCCCUGACCUCUAAAAAUGUCUGACUUGUCCAUUCAUCCACUCCCGCCUCUGUUGCAAGUGAUCCUCCCUGAUUGGCUGUCACUCCCGGCCAAUGGCGGAGCUUCCUGUGCUGCCCAUUCAUAAAACCCCGGGUCAUUGAGGAUAAUGUAGCGAGGGGCUAAACCCAUAAACCAUGUUACAAAUUAAUAUUAGAAGUGGAUCUAUGUCACAUAUUAAUUGUAUUAAAGAAAAACUGCUUUUAUGAGUUUAUUACUGAUAUUAGUGCAUAUUGGUGGUGUCAUGUAAACUGAAUUUGUAGUGUUUAUUGUC